rnacentral:rRNA from 1 species
GAUGAACGCUAGCGGCAGGCUUAAUACAUGCAAGUCGAGGGGCAGCGCGGGUAGCAAUACCUGGCGGCGACCGGCAAACGGGUGCGGAACACGUACGCAACCUUCCCAUAACUGGUGAAUAGCCCUCCGAAACGAGGACUACUACACCGUAACAUAACGCAGAGGCAUCUUUUUGUUAUUAUAGUAGCAAUACGGCUUUGGAUGGGCGUGCGCCUGAUUAGGUAGUUGGCGGGGUAACGGCCCACCAAGCCUGCGAUCAGUAACUGGUGUGAGAGCACGACCAGUCACACGGGCACUGAGACACGGGCCCGACUCCUACGGGAGGCAGCAGUAAGGAAUAUUGGUCAAUGGACGAAAGUCUGAACCAGCCAUGCCGCGUGAAGGAUUAAGGCCCUCUGGGUUGUAAACUUCUUUUAUCUGGGACGAAAAAAGGGCAUUCUUGCUCACUUGACGGUACCAGAGGAAUAAGCACCGGCUAACUCCGUGCCAGCCGCCGCUGUAA